rnacentral:rRNA from 1 species
CCCUUAGAUGUUCUGGGCCACACGCGCGUUACACUGAUGAAGCCAGCGAGUAUAUCGCCUUCACCGGAAGGUGCGGGUAAUCUUGUGAAACUUCAUCGUGCUGGGGAUAGACCAUUGCAAUUAUUGGUCUUGAACGAGGAAUUCCUAGUAAGCAUGAGUCACCAACUCGUGCUGAUUACGUCCCUGCCCUUUGUACACACCGCCCGUCGCUACUACCGAUUGAAUGGUUUAGUGAGAUCUCGGGAUUGGAGACGUUGCGCCGCAAGGCACAUCGUCCUCGAGAACUUGAUCAAACUUGAUCAUUUAGAGGAAGUAAAAGUCGUAACA